AUUGAACGCUGGCGGCAGGCCUAACACAUGCAAGUCGAGCGGAUGAAGGGAGCUUGCUCCUGGAUUCAGCGGCGGACGGGUGAGUAAUGCCUAGGAAUCUGCCUGGUAGUGGGGGAUAACGUCCGGAAACGGGCGCUAAUACCGCAUACGUCCUGAGGGAGCAAGUGGGUGAUCUUCGGACCUCACGCUAUCAGAUGAGCCUAGGUCGGAUUAGCUAGUUGGUGGGGUAAAGGCCUACCAAGGCGACGAUCCGUAACUGGUCUGAGAGGAUGAUCAGUCACACUGGAACUGAGACACGGUCCAGACGCCUACGGGAGGCAGCAGUGGGGAAUAUUGGACAAUGGGCGAAAGCCUGAUCCAGCCAUGCCGCGUGUGUGAAGAAGGUCUUCGGAUUGUAAAGCACUUUAAGUUGGGGGGAAGGGCAGUAAGUUAAUACCUUGCUGUUUUGACGUUACCAACAGAAUAAGCACCGGCUAACUUCGUG
rnacentral:rRNA from 1 species